UAAAUCCUGAAAUGUUCGUUUGGGAAUCAUAAAAGAACCUACACUUUUAAUUCGGGAACCCGAGUCUUUGGCAGCCUAUGUCAAGCCUCCUUCGAGUGGAAGACAGAAGCGGAAGCAGGGUACCCACCUAUCUAAGGAUAGGGCGUCUUUUAUAUCCUGACGGCAUGUCGGGAUUACU
rnacentral:other from 1 species